rnacentral:rRNA from 1 species
CAAUAGCGUAUAUUAAAGUUGUUGCAGUUAAAAAGCUCGUAGUUGGAUUUCUGGUAGGAGCGACCGUGCCGAACUUGAUUGUUCGAGUAUUGUGUUGUCUUCAGCCAUCCUCGUGGGGAACUUUUCUAACAUUAACUUGUUGGGAUUGGGACCCGCGUCGUUUACUGUGAAAAAAUUAGAGUGUUUAAAGCAGGCAUUAGCUUGAAUACAUUAGCAUGGAAUAAUAAGAUAGGACUUUGGUACUAUUUUGUUGGUUUGCAUACCAAAUUAAUGAUCAACAGGAACAGUUUGAGGAUAUUCGUAUGAACAUGUCAGAGGUGAAAUUCUUGGAUUUUGAUCAGACGAACUACUGCGAAAGCAUUUAUCAAGGAUGUUUUCAUUAA